CCUACGGGAGGCAGCAGUGAGGAAUAUUGGUCAAUGGGCGCGAGCCUGAACCAGCCAAGUAGCGUGAAGGAUGACUGCCCUACGGGUUGUAAACUUCUUUUAUAAAGGAAUAAAGUGAGGCAAGGGUGCCUUUUUGUAUGUACUUUCUGAAUAAGGAUCGGCUAACUCAGUGCCAGCAGCCGCGGUAAUACGGAGGAUACGAGCGUUAUCCGGAUUGAUUGGGGUUAAAGGUAGCGUAGAUGGGUUGUUAAGUCAGUUGUGAAAGUUUGCGGCUCAACCGUAAAAUUGCAAUUGAUACUGACAGUCUUGAGUACAGUUGAGGUAGGCGGAAUUCGUGGUGUAGCGGAGAAAUGCUUAGAUAUCACGAAGAACUCCGAUUGCGAAGGCAGCUUACUAAACUGCCACUGACAUUGAUGCUCGAAAGUGUGGGUAUCAAACAGGAUUAGAUACCCGGGUAGUC
rnacentral:rRNA from 1 species